rnacentral:other from 1 species
ACACCUCUGCGGUGUUCGUGAGCGGCUGGGUAGUACCCUUGAGCCUAAUUCCUUACCCCGGGGGCUGGUUAGCGGGGAGGCAUGUGCAGGUCCGCCUCGGCGGAAAGCCUACGCCUUCACGUCGAAGUUCCCACUUGAACCCUUGGUUCAAGGUCGAAGGUCGCCACGGCACACGCGGAGCGUGU